CCCAAAGUCAAUUGCAUGUCAACAAUUAAUGUAUAUCGACGCGAUACAGAACGCCGCUCGCCAGACAAAUUACUGUGCACUAUCAAAUGCAACCCAGUUCCUCGUGUAAUUGGCAAUAAUUGACAGCUUAUCACUCAGUCAACACUUGAAUUUCGAGUAUAUAAAUCCGUGCCAGACACCACGGAAGGCACCACAACACUUCAGAAGCCUUCCAGAGUAUCAGACAUUCAGUUCCAGAAAUGGCCAGAGCUACUUCCUACGUCCUUGCAUUGGCUUUCUUCGCCUACUGCACGCUCCUCAUCAGUGUGUCAGCAAUGCCACAAGUCGACGGACCUGUCUCUGGACCCGUCGCCGAGACUGAGACCUUCGCCCAGAACCAGACCAACACCGCCACCC